AUACAGAGGGUGCGAGCGUUAAUCGGAAUUACUGGGCGUAAAGGGCGCGUAGGUGGAUGUUUAAGUUGGAUGUGAAAGCCCCGGGCUCAACCUGGGAUGGUCAUUCAAAACUGGGCAUCUAGAGUGCAGUAGAGGGUGGCGGAAUUUCCGGUGUAGCGGUGAAAUGCGUAGAUAUCGGAAGGAACAUCAGUGGCGAAGGCGGCCACCUGGGCUGUAACUGACACUGAGGCGCGAAAGCGUGGGGAGCAAACAGGAUUAGAAACCCCGGUAGUCC
rnacentral:rRNA from 1 species